rfam:Canis lupus familiaris chromosome 1, whole genome shotgun sequence.
CGGGGGAGGCCGGAUCCUGGGCUGUGUCCCGGCGCCCUGUGCUCCGGAGCCUGCGCUGUUGGAUUCGCGCUCCCGGGCCGCGCAGCCCCCU